GGGGAAGAGGAGAGGAGGAAGAGGAAAGAUGGAGGAGAGGUGAGGAAGGAAGGGUGGGGAAGAGAGGAGAGGAAGACAGAGGAAAGGACAAAAAAGAGGCUGAUGAUAUCGAUCCACCUACGAUGGUGGCCAGCAGUGGGGAGGGCAGGAGGAGGAAGAGCAGUGGUGAGGGGUGGGAGAAGAAGAGUAGAGGAAGGAAAAGAAAAAGGAAAAAAAGGAAAGUUUUUACACAUUUUAAUUUUUUUUAACAAAUUUUAUAAUAAAUUACAAUAAAAUUUUAUACAAACACACAAAAAACUCAUUUUCCAAAUAGGAUCUAAAUUUGAGAAGAUUCCAAGAAGUUUCCCACACUUGUCCACUGCCACA
rnacentral:lncRNA from 1 species